rnacentral:rRNA from 1 species
CACGUAGGGUGCAAGCGUUGUCCGGAAUCAUUGGGCGUAAAGAGCUCGUAGGCGGCUUAGUAAGUCGGGUGUGAAAACCCGGGGCUCAACUCCGGGCCUGCAGCCGAUACGGGCAGACUAGAGUUCGGCAGGGGAGACUGGAAUUCCUGGUGUAGCGGUGAAAUGCGCAGAUAUCAGGAGGAACACCGGUGGCGAAGGCGGGUCUCUGGGCCGAUACUGACGCUGAGGAGCGAAAGCGUGGGGAGCGAACAGG